AGAAAGUGUUUGGCAGAGAAUAAAUGCUUAAUAAAUAUUUGCUGAUGAAUGAGUGAUUGGCUUCACGGAAAAGGUGACAUUUCAGCUAGACCAACAACGGUGGGUAGGAUUUUGAGAUGCGGAAAUGGGAAAUCCAAGUAAAUUGCAAAAGGGCACAGUGCUUGGGAGCUUAACCAAUAUGCUGCUUUGCCGGGGGUUAGGGCAUAUGAGGGGACUGGCUGGAGGUAAGCAGGAAUAAAAGGCUUGCUAGAGACACGGAGGGCCUAAACUAUUAGGCUAAGGCAUUUAUCUGGUGGGCGUCAGGGAGUCACUAAGGGUGGUGGUUCUUGUUGCAGUGAUUAGGAAGAUUUAUUUGGAGUGGUCUCCUGGGUGAAUGUUAGAGGGGGCCCUGAUCCAUUGUGACAUCAGCAAGCGGACUGAUCAGAAGACGUGCAGGAUGCCUGUUGUGGGAUGGUCACAGUGGAAACGGACAGAAGGAGGUAGAGUGGAAAGUCAUCCCGGAGAAGAGAAGUCUAAGUGAACUCUGGGAUCAUGAGGCUGGGUGAUUGGGGAGGGGGAGACAGCGAACGUGAGGGAAGGAGCAGUUUGGCAGAAAGGCAAGGGAAAAUAGAGACUGUGAACUUGGCUAUGGACCUUGGUCACUUGCUGUUGACCCUGGGUGGCUUGGAGGCAGCUGGCAGCCAGGUGGGAAGGGAGAAACGUUGGACACACUGCUGGCAUCACUGGGAGCCUCCUCUAGCCUGUCCCCAGAGAUACCUGUCUUGGGCCCAUGAUAAGCAAUGGGCACAGCGAUGGCUCAGUAAUUCUGCAAAUGUGCAUUGAGCUGUGUCUGUGAGCAAGACAGCAUCCUGGUUGACUGGAGGAGCUACAAAGAGAAAACAGGAGAUUCUGGUUCCAGGACAGGGCUUCGUUGCCCCGUCCUCUGCCUGGGUGCUCUGGGUGUUGGGGGGAUCCCCACCCACUCCGCUGCAGGCCUUUGGGCACAACAGCCUUUCCUGGACCCUCUGAGUGCCCUGGAGAGACAGCAGGCCAGGCAGCAGGGAGCUGGAGGCCAGGCUCAGAGUUUUGGAAUGGUGGGAAGCAGCUCUGCAAGGGCAGGGGGCGGGGGGGUGUCAGAGCCGGCGACAGAGCUCAGGCUGGCCGGUGCUCCACACCCCCUCAACUCUAGCCCCUGCACAGGAUCCUGGGGAUAGCACAGGUGGAGGUAGGGGGAGGAGUCUCCUGGGAUCCCCCACCAGUCCACAGGUCUCCACCCCUAAGGGUCGGGUCAUGGCUGUCACUUUGCACCCACCCUCCACAAGGAAUCACAGUACCAGGUGCAACGCUCUCUUCAUGAAUUGCAUUUGCCAAAUGAGACCCGGUAUUAGUUUUUCUUUUUCCCCCUUCUUCCUGGCCUGUUUCUCGUCUGCCUCCAGAAGCUGCUGGAAGUUCUCCCCAGAGUUUUAUAUCUUGAGGGCUUGUGUCUUUGGAGCCAAAGCCUCCCCCGCUCCUUCUCCCCCCUCCCCUCUCCCAGCAGAGGCUUCUCUCUGGACUAGCAAAAGGGCACCGUGUCGAUUAAUAAAACAUUUUCUUGCAGUCUGAUGGCCACGCUCAGUUUGGGCAGGGCUUAGGGAUGAUGAAGCGUUAUGCCCACCCCCCACCCUACACACUGCGUUGGACUUUCUUAAUAUUUCCAUGUAAGGUCAGCUUCUCAUCCGAAGAGCAGAGGCUGCUGCGUUCACGUUCCAAGUUAGGUCCUUUACGCCUGGGCUGGCCCACAUGAGUUGACUGAAUUCUUUGGUUGGGGUGGGACUCCCUAGGGCAAUGGAAAGACC